rnacentral:rRNA from 1 species
UACGAAGGGAGCUAGCGUUGUUCGGAAUCACUGGGCGUAAAGCGCACGUAGGCGGACGUGUCAGUCAGGGGUGAAAUCCCGGAGCUCAACUUCGGAACUGCCUUUGAUACAGCACGUCUUGAGUCCGGAAGAGGUGGGUGGAAUUCCUAGUGUAGAGGUGAAAUUCGUAGAUAUUAGGAAGAACACCGGUGGCGAAGGCGGCCCACUGGUCCGGUACUGACGCUGAGGUGCGAAAGCGUGGAGAGCAAACAGG